GUUGAGGGUCUUUCUCUGUUUCGCUGACCCUCCCCGCCCCUUGGUAACCACUAAUAAACUUUGGUCUCUACGCAUUUGCCUAGUCUACAUAUUUCAUAUAUGUGGGAUCAUACAAUAUUUGUCCUUUUGUUACUGACUUAUUUCACUUAGAUGUUUUUAAGAUUUAUCAGUGUCGUAGCAUAUAUCAGGACUUCAUUUCUCUUUAUGGCUGAGUAAUAUUCCAUUGCAUGUAUAUACCACAUUUUUUCACUCAUCUAUUGAUGGACAUUUAGAUUGUUUCCACCUUUUGGCUUCUGAUGACUUUAUAAUGUAGGGUGGGCAGUCAAAGGAGUCCAUCUGCUGGUCAAAUCCAACCCUUGGCUGUCCAGUUUGCAGCCACCUCUUUGGGCAUUCUGUGUGGGGGAUGAACAGAAGAAAGGAGACAGGUAAGCCAGAACAGGGACCCCUAUGAAAGACAGGAAGAGGGGCCAUUGGUAGACCACAGAGUCAGCCACCUCAGUGUUUCCCUCAGACACACUGACACACAGGUGGGCAAAGAUGCUGACACUCAGGGACGAAACAGCGGAUACCCUCAUCCUGGCUCACUGAAACAUGGAUGGACACAAGGACACAGACCUGCAGGCUCCACCUUCUCUCAGGCCCACCUCUGUAUUUUCAGGUCCAGAGGGGGUGCCCUGGGCCAUGUGGCUGCCACUGCCCAGAGGAGCAAGCAUCAGUCCUGGCUCCCCAACUCAUCCAGGGUCUGCCUGCACUGAUGGCCGAUGAACUAGGCCCAGAGAUCCCUGGCCAGUGCUUCUGGCAUUUCUGAUACCAGGAGAAGGCAAGCCCUGAGAGGCCCUGGCCCAGCUGUGUGAGCUGUGCCACCAGUGGCUGCGGCCCGAGGCACGCUCCAAGGAGCAGAUGCUGGAGUUGCUGGAGCUGGAACAGUUCCUGGGCUCGCUGCUCCUUGAGAUCCAGGCCCAUGUGUGGGGGCAGCGGCCCGGCAGCCCCGAGGAGGCUGUAACCUUGGUUGAGGGGCUGUGGGGGGAGCCUGUAGUCCAGGUGAGCAGGGGCUGAGCCAGGGCUGCUGCUUCUUCCUCCAGAGCCCUGAGCCUGGAGCUGGGGCUAGUGUGGUGGUGGUGGGGACUGUGGGAGAGUGACAGGUGGGAGCUUGGCGGUUCCAAGCAGACCCUUCCAGUCCUUAUCUGCAUUUGUACUCAGCACCAUGGUGUGAGAACUGGGGAGGAGGGUCACCAAAAAGGAUGCAGCACUCCACAGCUCACCCACAUUUCCUCAGUGGAUCUGCCCCGCAGCACACCCCUCACCUGCCUGUCUUCCUGUCCCUAGGUUCCAGCCCCUCAUCCUAGUGAGGAGCUAGUCCACAAGACAGAGGAGGAGGAGGGCCAGGAGGCUUCCCCAGGCUCCCUCCAGGCCACACUUCCAGGUGUCUUCAUCUCUCCAGAGUUCGGCACCCCCAAGGUCGAGCAAGGGGAUGAGAGUGAUAUUCAGAAGCUACCCAGCAUGGAGGGCGUGGCCCCGAGGUGGGCUAGUGCGGAUCACGGUGCCAAGGUGGAUUCCUUAGGACAGUUGGCUCCUGGGGAAGAAGACGCUCCCUGUAAUGCACUGGAAACUGACUCUAUGGGUCCUUGUGAGGAGGCUUCAUCUGGAGGCCGCUGGGCCUGGGAGGGCCCCUCGGAAGGAACAGGGGAGGCAGGGGACAGUCAGGAGCAGCCAGCCAUGCUGGGAGCCACAGCAAACCAGGGGGACCCAGGAGGGGAGCCCGAGCCCACGGACUCCUUCCAAGCCAGGCCCCAGAGGGACAAGAAGGACCUGGCGCCGAGCCCCCCGCCCCUCGCGGGGGGCAGGGCAGCCGAUGCAGCGAGUGCGGCAAGGCAUUCAGCCAGAGCUCCUACCUGGUGCAGCACCGGCGCGUGCACACCGGCGAGAAGCCGUACACUUGCGCAGACUGCGGCUA